rnacentral:rRNA from 1 species
UGCCAGACUCCUACGGGAGGCAGCAGUGAGGAAUAUUGGUCAAUGGGCGCGAGCCUGAACCAGCCAAGUCGCGUGAGGGAUGACGGUCCUACGGAUUGUAAACCUCUUUUGCCGGGGAGCAAGCGUGCGUUCGUGAACGCGCGUCGAGAGUACCCGGAGAAAAAGCAUCGGCUAACUCCGUGCCAGCAGCCGCGGUAAUACGGAGGAUGCGAGCGUUAUCCGGAAUCACUGGGCGUAAAGGGCGCGUAGGCGGUAAUAUAAGUCAGAUGUGAAAGGUGGGGGCUCAACCCCUAGAGUGCAACUGAUACUGUAUAACUUGAGUGUGAGAGAGGGAAGCGGAAUUCCUAGUGUAGCGGUGAAAUGCGUAGAUAUUAGGAGGAACACCAGUGGCGAAGGCGGCUUUCUGGCUCAUAACUGACGCUGAGGCGCGAAAGCGUGGGGAGCAAACAGGAUUAGAUACCCCAGUAA